AGUUGUUUACUGCAGGAUCCGACUCAGGGUUAUAGUUCAGUCUGUCGACUGAAGACCGAGGAUGCGUUACCUUACAGCUGUUUUUGUUUUCUGUAAUGAAUCACCCUGCUGAGCUGAAUGUUUCUA